rnacentral:tRNA from 1 species
AUUUAAAUAGUUUAUAAAAAUAUUACAUUUUCAUUGUAAAGUUGAAACAUAAUUUCUUUAAAUA